rnacentral:rRNA from 1 species
GAUGAACGCUGGCGGCGUGCCUAAUACAUGCAAGUCGAGCGAACGGACGAGGAGCUUGCUCCUCUGACGUUAGCGGCGGUCGGGUGAGUAACACGUGGAUAACCUACCUAUAAGACUGGGAUAACUUCGGGAAACCGGAGCUAAUACCGGAUAAUAUAUUGAACCGCAUGGUUCAAUAGUGAAAGACGGUUUUGCUGUCACUUAUAGAUGGAUCCGCGCCGCAUUAGCUAGUUGGUAAGGUAACGGCUUACCAAGGCAACGAUGCGUAGCCGACCUGAGAGGGUGAUCGGCCACACUGGAACUGAGACACGGUCCAGACUCCUACGGGAGGCAGCAGUAGGGAAUCUUCCGCAAUGGGCGAAAGCUUGACGGAGCAACGCCGCGUGAGUGAUGAAGGUCUUCGGAUCGUAAAACUCUGUUAUUAGGGAAGAACAAAUGUGUAAGUAACUAUGCACGUCUUGACGGUACCUAAUCAGAAAGCCACGGCUAACUACGUG